rnacentral:rRNA from 1 species
CCUACGGGAGGCAGCAGCGGGGAAUUUUGGACAAUGGACGCAAGUCUGAUCCAGCCAUGCCGCGUGCGGGAAGAAGGCCUUCGGGUUGUAAACCGCUUUUGUCGGGGAAGAAACGAGUUUCUCUAAUACAGAGACUUAAUGACGGUACCUGAAGAAUAAGCACCGGCUAACUACGUGCCAGCAGCCGCGGUAAUACGUAGGGUGCAAGCGUUAAUCGGAAUUACUGGGCGUAAAGCGUGCGCAGGCGGUUAUGCAAGACAGAUGUGAAAUCCCCGGGCUCAACCUGGGAACUGCAUUUGUGACUGCAUGGCUAGAGUACGGUAGAGGGGGAUGGAAUUCCGCGUGUAGCAGUGAAAUGCGUAGAUAUGCGGAGGAACACCGAUGGCGAAGGCAAUCCCCUGGACCUGUACUGACGCUCAUGCACGAAAGCGUAGGGGAGCAAACAGGAUUAGAUACCCUGGUAGUCCACGCCCUAAACGAUGUCAACUGGUUGUUGGGAGGGUUUCUUCGUCAGUAACGAAGCUAACGCGUGAAGUUGACCGCCUGGGGAGUACGGCCGCAAGGUUGAAACUCAAAGGAUUGACGG